GACGAACGCUGGCGGCGUGCUUAACACAUGCAAGUCGAACGGUAAGGCCCUUCGGGGUACACGAGUGGCGAACGGGUGAGUAACACGUGGGUGAUCUGCCCUGCACUUCGGGAUAAGACUGGGAAACUGGGUCUAAUACCGGAUAGGACCACUGCCUGCAUGGGUGGUGGUGGAAAGCUUUUGCGGUGUGGGAUGGGCCCGCGGCCUAUCCGCUUGUGGGUGGGGUGAUGGCGUACCAAGGCGACGACGGGUAGCCGGCCUGAGAGGGGUGACAGGCCACACUGGGACUGAGAUACGGCCCAGACUCCUACGGGAGGCAGCAGUGGGGAAUAUUGCACAAUGGGCGCAAGCCUGAUGCAGCGACGCCGCGUGAGGGAUGACGGCCUUCGGGUUGUAAACCUCUUUCAGCACCGACGAAGCGCAAGUGACGGUAGGUGCAGAAGAAGGACCGGCCAACUACGUGCCAGCCGCCGCGGUAA
rnacentral:rRNA from 1 species